rnacentral:rRNA from 1 species
UCCUUAAAUAUUAUAAUAUAAUUUACUUAAAACAAUACUAAAUUAGUAAGAGAACUGAAUUUCAUUCACAAGAAAGUACUGAAAAGGAAAAAUAUAAUUAACAAAAAGUUAAACUUUGUACCUUUUGUAUCAGGGUUUAUCAAUUUCGACUCGUUAUAGAUUGAUCCCGAAAAGAGAUGAUCUACAUUAAUCAAAGGUUGCUGUUUCAAAAGCUUCUUUAAGAUUAAUGUCGUUGCAAUAAGUAUUACGUAUCUCUAUAUCUGGUUGACUCAAUAUUCCUUCAGGGAACUCCGCAGGGAAAAAUUUUUAGGGGACGAGCUCUAAGAAAAAUUACAUAACAAUAUUAUGAUCGGCUCAUUAGGCUUAGAAGCAGCCAUCGUGUUAUAACGGGUGCCUUUUGGACUAUAAUUUAAAAGUAAUUAAUAUUCACUAGUCAAUGCUGAUUACUAAAACUCACCAUAUACAAUGAUAAAAUUAGUAGAAAUCAAAUUGCUCAGCAAAGAAUCUAUAAAGCCGGCAAGAAAUUCGGCAAAUUUUACCUCCGCCU